rnacentral:rRNA from 1 species
UAGCAUAAUAAAUUGUUUUUUAAUUGAAAACUGGAAUGAAAGGUUACACGAAUUAUUACUAUAUAAAAUCUAAUUUAUGAACUUUUAUUAUAAGUAAAAAUACUUAUAUAUUGUAAAGGGACGAUAAGACCCUAGAAGCUUCAAUUCUUACUAUAUAAAACAAUUAUAUUUAACUCUUAUAUUUAUAACAAUUUUGGUUGGGGAAACAAAAAUUUUAAAAAUAAUUUUGGUUUAUAAUAACACCAUUAUCUUAGAUCUUUUAAAUAAAAACAAACAGUAAAAGUUACUCUAGGGAUAACAGCGUAAUAAUUUUGGUUAGACCUUAUAUAUAAAAUUGAUUACGACCUCGAUGUUGAAUUAAAAUAUCUUUAUAAAGCAGAAGUUAUAAAAGAAGGUUUGUUCAACCUUUAAUUUUUU